AAAAAGGUAAGCUAAUUAAGCUCUUGGGUUCAUACCCCAUUUAUAAAGGCCCCCCCUCCUUUCCUUUUUA
rnacentral:tRNA from 1 species